GACGAACGCUGGCGGCGUGCUUAACACAUGCAAGUCGAACGGAAAGGCCCUGCUUUUGUGGGGUGCUCGAGUGGCGAACGGGUGAGUAACACGUGAGUAACCUGCCCUUGACUUUGGGAUAACUUCACGAAACUGGGGCUAAUACCGGAUAGGAGCUCCUGCUGCAUGGUGGGGGUUGGAAAGUUUCGGCGGUUGGGGAUGGACUCGCGGCUUAUCAGCUUGUUGGUGGGGUAGUGGCUUACCAAGGCUUUGACGGGUAGCCGGCCUGGGAGGGUGACCGGCGACAUGGGGACUGAGAGACGGCCCAGACUGCUACGGGAGGCAGCAGGGGGGAAUAUGGCACAAUGGGCGGAAGCCUGAGGCGGCAACGCCGCGUGCGGGAUGACGGCCUUCGGGUUGUAAACCGCUGUCGCCUGUGACGAAGCGUGAGUGACGGUAAUGGGUAAAGAAGCACCGGCUAACUACGUG
rnacentral:rRNA from 1 species